rnacentral:rRNA from 1 species
GAUGAACGUUGGCGGUGUGCCUAAUACAUGCAAGUCGAACGGAGACUGUAGCAAUACUGUCUUAGUGGCGAACGGGUGAGUAACGCGUUGGUGAUCUGCCUCGAAGUGUGGAAUAACCUCCCGAAAGGGAAGCUAAUACCGCAUAGUCUCUCAAGGUUUAGAAAAUUGAGAGUAAAGGAUUUAUUCGCUUCGAGAGGAGCCUGCGUCCCAUCAGCUAGUUGGUAGGGUAACGGCCUACCAAGGCAAUGACGGGUAGGGGACCUGAGAGGGUGGCCCCCCACAAUGGAACUGAAACACGGUCCAUACACCUACGGGUGGCAGCAGUAGGGAAUAUUAGAAAUGGACGAAAGUCUGAUCUAGCAACACCGCGUGUGCGAUGAAGGCCUUCGGGUCGUAAAGCACUUUUUGGAAGGAAUAGGAAGGAAUGUACUUCCAGAAUAAGUCUCGGCUAACUACGUG